rnacentral:lncRNA from 1 species
UGGGAACCCAUUAUAUCAUCUUCUAAAGUACAUGCAAGUGGCCCUCCGAGUGUGUGGGCAAGUGGUGCAUGUGUGGAUGGGCGUGGUGAAGGAUGCUUGCCACUGUGGAACAACUCCAAGAACAUCUUCAAGAUAUCUACAGUGUUGGCUCAUCUUCAUGAUCAACUUGACUAGAUUUGGAACCACCUGGGAGACAAACAUUUGGUAGUGACUGUGAGAGUUUCUAGAGAGUUAACUGAAGAGAAAAGACCCAACCUAAACAUAGGCUGGGAGCCAAG